GAUGAAGAACGCAGCGAAAUGCGAUAAGUAAUGCGAAUUGCAGAAUUCCGUGAAUCAUCGAGUCUUUGAACGCACAUUGCGCCCCCUGGUAUUCCGGGGGGCAUGCCUGUCCGAGCGUCAUUGCUGCCCAUCAAGCACGGCUUGUGUGUUGGGUCCCGUCCCCCUCUCCCGGGGGACGGACCCGAAAGGCAGCGGCGGCACCGCGUCCGGUCCUCGAGCGUAUGGGGCUUUGUCACCCGCUCUUGUAGGCCCGGCCGGCGCUUGCCGACACCCAACCAUUUUUUUCAGGUUGACCUCGGAUCAGGUAGGGAUACCCGCUGAACUUAAGCAUAUCAAUAAGCGGAGGA
rnacentral:misc_RNA from 1 species